AGCGAACGCUGGCGGCGUGCCUAACACAUGCAAGUCGAACGUGAAAAGGGCAACCCUGAGUAAAGUGGCGUACGGGUGAGUAACGCGUAGGUAAUCUACCAAAAGACCUGGAAUAACCUGCCGAAAGGCGGGCUAAUACCAGAUAGAGCGAUGGGAUCCGUAAUCGGAUCUUUCGGGAAAGGGAGCUCGUAAGGGCCCUCACUUUUUGUANGAGCCUGCGUCUCAUUAGUCUAGUU
rnacentral:rRNA from 1 species